rnacentral:lncRNA from 1 species
AAAUUCAUAUUCCUAUCAAUAGUCACUGCCUUGGACAAUUCUCCACUAUUAUGCAGUUCAUACUCUAAACCUUCAAUAUCUGCAAUGACCACAUCAAUCCUGGCUUUAAUAUCCACUUUAUUCAUUCACUUCCAAUCCAACAACUUUUGUUUAGCAUACAACAGUUUUUUGUGAAUUUGGAAAUCCAUCUGACAAUCACCGCCAUAUUCAGCC